CCUACGGGUGGCAGCAGUGAGGAAUAUUGGUCAAUGGGCGGAAGCCUGAACCAGCCAAGCCGCGUGAGGGAUGAAGGUACAGAGUAUCGUAAACCUCUUUUGUCAGGGAACAAAGGCGGGGACGCGUCCCCGGAUGAGUGUACCUGAAGAAAAAGCAUCGGCUAACUCCGUGCCAGCAGCCGCGGUAAUACGGAGGAUGCGAGCGUUAUCCGGAUUUAUUGGGUUUAAAGGGUGCGCAGGCGGUCUGUUAAGUCAGCGGUCAAAGCCCGGGGCUCAACCCCGGCCCGCCGUUGAAACUGGCAGUCUCGAGUUGGAGAGAAGUAUGCGGAAUGCGCGGUGUAGCGGUGAAAUGCAUAGAUAUCGCGCAGAACUCCGAUUGCGAAGGCAGCAUGCCGGCUCCACACUGACGCUGAGGCACGAAAGCGUGGGUAUCGAACAGGAUUAGAUACCCUUGUAGUC
rnacentral:rRNA from 1 species